GACGAACGCUGGCGGCGCGCCUAACACAUGCAAGUCGAACGAGCGAGAGAGAGCUUGCUUUCUCGAGCGAGUGGCGAACGGGUGAGUAACGCGUGAGGAACCUGCCUCAAAGAGGGGGACAACAGUUGGAAACGACUGCUAAUACCGCAUAAGCCCACGGUGCCGCAUGGCACAGAGGGAAAAGGAGCAAUCCGCUUUGAGAUGGCCUCGCGUCCGAUUAGCUAGUUGGUGAGGUAAUGGCCCACCAAGGCGACGAUCGGUAGCCGGACUGAGAGGUUGAACGGCCACAUUGGGACUGAGACACGGCCCAGACUCCUACGGGAGGCAGCAGUGGGGAAUAUUGCACAAUGGGGGAAACCCUGAUGCAGCGACGCCGCGUGGAGGAAGAAGGUCUUCGGAUUGUAAACUCCUGUUGUUGGGGAAGAUAAUGACGGCACCCAACAAGGAAGUGACGGCUAACUACGUG
rnacentral:rRNA from 1 species